AGAGUUUGAUCAUGGCUCAGGACAAACGCUGGCGGCGUGCGUAACACAUGCAAGUCGAACGGGCGGCUCUUUGCUUUCGGGCGGGGGGCAGGCCAGUGGCGGACGGGUGCGGAACACGUGGAUGACCUACCCUGCUGAGGGGGAUACCCGCCAGAAAUGGCGGUUAAGCCCGCAUACGGUCUAUCGGGUGAAGCCGGUAGAAGAAAGGGGUGGCUUCGGCCACGCCCGCGGCAGGAGGGGUCCGCGGCCGAUUAGCUAGUUGGGGGGGUAACGGCCUCCCAAGGCGACGAUCGGUAGCUGGUCUGAGAGGAUGAUCAGCCACACUGGGAUUGAGAACGGCCCAGACUCCUACGGGGGGCAGCAGUGAGGGAUCUUCGACAAUGGGCGCCAGCCUGAUCGAGCAACGCCGCGUGCGGGAGGACGCCCUUCGGGGUGUAAACCGCUUUUCCUUGGGACGAGCGACGGCUCACGCCGUGGACGGUACCAGGGGAAGAAGUCUCGGCUAACUACGUGCCAGCCGCCGCGGUAAUAC
rnacentral:rRNA from 1 species